rnacentral:rRNA from 1 species
AUGGAGCUAACCACAGCCACCCUCCUGCUCAUCUCAUUGCCUUUGAUCCUUUUGUCGUCCUUAUUACUUGGCCGCAAAUCCAAAGCAGCAAGGCCUCCUGGUCCAUGGAGCCUCCCGUUCAUCGGAAGCCUACACCACCUCCUCACGCCACUGCCGCACGUCGCUCUCCGUGACCUGGCCAAGAAGCACGGCCCGGUGAUGUACCUCAGGCUGGGCCAGGUGGACGCCGUCGUCAUCUCCUCGCCGGCGGCUGCGCAGGAGGUCCUCCGGGACAAGGACCUCAGCUUCGCGUCGCGGCCCAGCAUCCUGGCCUCGGAGAUCUGCCUUUACGGGAACCUCGACGUCGCCUUCGCGCCCUACGGCGCGUACUGGCGGACCAUGCGCAGGCUCUGCACGACGGAGCUCCUCAGCGCGCGCAAGGUCCGGCAGUUCGCGCCGGUCCGGGGCGGCGAGAUCAUGCGCCUCGUCGAGACGGUCCGCUCAGCCGGCCGAGGUGGUGAACCCGUGAAUCUCGGCGGCCUCGUGAUGGCGUGCACGAACACGGUCACGGCGAAGGUGGCGUUCGGCGAGGGGUGCGCAGGGGAGCUGCAGGCGCAGUUCCUUUCGGCGAUCGAGGUGAUUCUCAGGAGCAGCGGGGGCCUCUGCGUCGGGGACCUCUUCCCGUCUCUGUCGUUCGUCGACGUCGUCAGUGGGAUGAAGCGCCGGCUCUGGCGAGCACGCCGGCAGCUUGACACGGUCCUUGACAAGAUCAUCGCGGAGUGCGAGGAGCGGCGAGAGCAGAACAAGACCGGAGACGACGAGGACCUCCUGAGAGUCUUGCUUCGGGUCAGGGACGAGGGGCAGCUCGAGGUCCCCAUGGGCACCACUAACAUCAAGGCAGUCAUAGCGGAUAUGUUCGCUGGAGGGACGGAGACGACUGCAUCAACCACCGAGUGGGUCAUGUCGGAGCUCAUAAGGAACCCAAGCGCAAUGGCCAAGGCGCAGAAGGAGGUGCGGUGUGCAUUCAACCACAAGAACCCAGAAGACCAUGAGGCUCACAUGGAAGAGCUAUGCUACACAAAGAUGGUAGUUAAGGAGGCCAUGAGGCUUCACCCGGUGGUUCCGCUCUUGCUCCCCCGUGUCUGCAGGGAGACCUGCGACGUCCGCGGGCUCAGGGUCGAGGAGGGCACUCGCGUCUUCGUGAACGCAUGGGCGAUGGCGAGGAGCCCUGAGUACUGGCAGGAUGCAGAGGAGUUCAGGCCAGAGAGGUUCGAGGACAACGCGGCGGACUACAAAGGCACGCAGCUAGAGUACCUGCCAUUUGGAAGUGGAAGGAGGAUGUGUCCUGGGAACAUCUUUGCAUUGGCCUUGGUAGAACUCGUCGUGGCACGACUUCUGUACUAUUUCGACUGGAGCCUCCCUGCCGGAAUGCAGCCGGAUGAGCUGGACAUGGACAUCGUUGUAGGCUUGACGGCAAAGAGAAGCAACCAGCUGCUCCUGGUGGUGUCACCAUAUAAUGUGCCGAUCCACAAGGAGAUUGAUGAAUGCAAAGCUCACUGA